rnacentral:lncRNA from 1 species
UUAUUCCAGUCACUUCCUCCCUCCCUCCUUUCCUUCCCCCCUUCUCCAGUUUGAGGAAGCUUGUCAGGGCUAGGCUGAUCCCAUGGGAGGUUGGUAAGAAGAGAGGAACUGCAUUGUUGGUGGGACUGGCCGGAGUUCCCUGCUUCUGCCCCAGUGAGGCUCCUGCCAGCAGGGAAUGAGGUGGCGUGAUGGUGACAGUGAGAGAGCUACACCUUCAACAUGGGAAUUCUCCGCUGAUAGCGAAGAAGUGUUAAACAGAAAGAUUGAGAAUGAACUCAAAACCAAGAACCUUAUUCAGCAUCAUCUUAUGACAGGGAAUUUUCAGAGCAAACCGGAGGCGCUGGUGUCAGAAGAGAGCCAAGGCUUUCAGCUGAAACAUUGGGAAGGUGUUUGUAAGUAACCUGUCUUUUCCACAGAGUCUAAUAUGUUGUCACUGUCUACCUGGAAAACUAUGAGAACUUUCUUUUCUCACCCCUAUAAGAUGCAUCUUCUGCAUUUGUUACAAUACAAAGGUUAUACAAAACCUUCAAUCUUCUUUAGAG